UUGUGAUACUAAAUUAGCUAAAUUGUUCAUAAUUUGUAUUAUGAAAUACUGCAUUUAAAUUACGGUAUAAAAAAUAAUCAUAUAUAAGAUAAUAUACAAAUAAGUUAUUAAUUUAAAGUUGCCAUACAUUUCCAACUUUAUAAAUAAUUAUUAUUUUAAAAAUAAAAUAUCAGAUUAAACCUUCAACAUGACAUUCAGUCUGGGGCGGUAUAAAAUCAUCAUAAAAAUAUUAACUACAUAGGUACAUUUAUAAUGUAUUUGAAAUAAAUAAAUUUAAGUGAACUUCAAUCAUUCAGAUAAAACCUUCAACAAGAUAUUCAGUCUGGGGCGGUAUAAAAUCAUCAUAACUGGGUAUAUACACUACAAAGUAUUUAACACACUUCCAACUAUAUAAAUAAUAGUUAUNU